UAUUCUGAAUCUCAGAAGCCAGAACAACAAGAGGAAACGCUGCACAGUGAAAGCAGCGAUCCCUCUUGCUGUUCUGGCUUCUGGGAUAGCUGCACAGCCUGCAUUCGUUCCAUAAGACGCACACACAUUUCCCCUUACUUUUUAGGAGGGAAAAAGUGAGUCUUAUAGAGCAAAAAAUAGGGUAAUUUGUCCAAGCAAGUGGGAUUUCUAAACUACUUGCAUGAGAAACACAGUAUUUUAAAAAAUGUGCACUUGUGGUAAGGGACACAUACCCACAAUGUGUCCAUUUGUACAAUCAUAUAGCCAAGGUAUUCCAUGAAAACUCUUGUAUAAGUAAAAAGAGUGACACAGAGAAGGAAGUUGAUAAAUAGAAAUCCCAGAGCGUGGCAAUUGAGGUAAGCAGACUUUUUGUAAAUUAAUUCUUCCACAGCACUAGAGGGGGAAAUGAUUCCAUAGCCAAGAGCAAUUUUGGAAAGGUUGAUCCAAGAAUAAGACAGCUGACGGACUUGCAUGGUGCCUGACUAAAAUAUUCCUCUAUGGAGCAACUUGCAGCCCAAACGCAGCAGCCAGAUGCUAUGGGAUAUGAUGGCUGUAGUAAUGCAAACUGACCUAUGCGUCAGACGCUUACUAAAGGCUGUGCAGCAGAAACAUCACCAGGGAGUGAGGUUAAGGGUACAUGCUGCUCAGUUAUGAGAGACAAACUUCCCUACUGUGACAACGUCAUUGACAACAGUCAUAAAGUCUGAGCAAAAGUAGCAGCAUUUAUUGAAAAGCUUUCCAUGUCCCCAGAAAAAUAAAAUGUAGCUCGUUCCUUGACUACGUAAUACUCAAUAUCUGGCGAGGGCGGGCAGGCGGGCAAGGGGGAUGAGGAAUGAAGUCAAUCUCGGACUUUCAUUUGGGAAAGCAAAGAACAGUUUUUCUAAGGAAUUUACCAAAUAUUCUUGCAGAAAGGAAGAAUAGAAAGGCAGGGAGGGGACUGUCUGUAGCAUUCCUGCUACCGCCGCUUCAGCCUGGCCAGGAUUCAAAGACGGAUACUUACACAUACAACUGGAACUUUAUAAAUUGCGUUUGGCUGAAGAGUUUCAAUUCCCAAAAGUACAAUUUGCAUUUUAAAAUAAACCGCGAACAAAGGGCAUGAACUUUGCUGAAAGACCGAUGCUUUGCAUCUGGCUCAUAAAUGGGCACAAGACAGAACAGGUAAAGAAAGUCCUUUAGAAAGUCUUUCAAGCCAAUGGCAGCCGGAAGGCACAAGCAGAAUUCGCUGAUCUGACAGCCCAAAAGAAUACUUCUGCCAUAUUUUUUUUAAAAAACCAUACCAGAGGAGUUAAUAAUUUAUGUAAUGAGGUUGUUCCAGGCCAAAUCACUAACCCAGCUCUAGUUUUACACUUCCGGGAGCAAUUCAAUCUAAAUUUCUGAGGGCUAUUCUUCAAAUACUGCAUUGCAUGCCCAAUGCUGCCCUGUGUCGAGGUCAGCCUUCAGAAGGCCAAAGCCGGGGCUUGGCUUGCCAUUUUCAACUUUGCCUGAAGUUCACCUUCCAUCCAACUGGCUCAGCCCCACUCACCCUUCAGGAUGGCUUUCAGUCUGUAUGGGUUAAGCCAACCCUCAAACGCCAGCUAUAUGGAUUAUCCCUGGGCUCCCUCAUCCCUCUGGGACAUGGAAAGGCUGGAGUGGCUCUCAAACGGCCUACUGUAAGAUGUUGAAUGGCAGCGCAGUUUAGGUUCAACCUCCAACCACACUCUGACUGACAGAGCACUCCAGCCACUCAAGAAGCCAACUCUCUAUCUCUAUACUCUAGGUCAAAAAGCAUUGCGGAGCUUUCAUUCUGGCAUGCCUAAAGGCUAUUCCCUCAGCAAUGUUGGAGGCAAGGUACCAAGACUGCAAGUGCCCAUGUGCUUCUGGAGAGGUUGAGUUUGUCCUCCCACACUGCUUUAUGGAGAUCUGCUAGAAACCAACACACGACAGGAACUGUUGUUAUUUUUUUUAAUGCUGAUGACCAUUUUAAUUCAUUUUAUGCUACUUUUAUUACUUUGUUUUAUUUCAUUUCCCCUCUUAUUAUAUACAUAUGGAUAAUAUGUUCUAUGUACUCCUUACCCUGGUUUCUUAAUGCUGGCCAUUGACUGUAAUAAUAAACAUUUGAACUAAA